rnacentral:misc_RNA from 1 species
AACUGCGAUAAGUAAUGUGAAUUGCAGAAUUCAGUGAAUCAUCGAAUCUUUGAACGCACAUUGCGCCCGCCAGUAUUCUGGCGGGCAUGCCUGUCCGAGCGUCAUUUCAACCAUCAAGCCCCCGGGCUUGUGUUGGGGACCUGCGGCUGCCCGCAGGCCCAGAAAACCAGUGGCGGGCUCGCUGUCACACCGAGCGUAGUAGCAAUCACCUCGCUCAGGGCGUGCUGCGGGUUCCGGCCGUUAAACAGCCUUACAAAACCCAAGGUUGACCUCGGAUCAGGUAGGAAGACCCGCUGAACUUAAGC